rnacentral:rRNA from 1 species
UACGGGGGGGGCAAGCGUUGCUCGGAAUUACUGGGCGUAAAGGGCUCGUAGGCGGCCAACUAAGUCGGAUGUGAAAUCCCCAGGCUUAACCUGGGAACUGCAUCCGAUACUGGAUGGCUUGAAUUCGGGAGAGGGAUGCAGAAUUCCAGGUGUAGCGGUGAAAUGCGUAGAUAUCUGGAGGAAUACCGGUGGCGAAGGCGGCAUCCUGGACCGACAUUGACGCUGAGGAGCGAAAGCUAGGGGAGCAAACGGG